AUAAGAAUUAAAAAAAAAAAAAAAAAAGGAAGAGGGGGAAAAAUAGUUCAGCAAACCGAACCAAUGCAUCAGCUGAGUCUGACAGUCGCUGCUGUAUUCCAUAACUCCCCCCCUCCCUCCUUCCCUGGGGAGAGCAGCGCUCCCCUCCCCCUGUUCUACAGAUCAAUCCAGCCCAGUCAGCAGUUAGGAAGUUGCUGACCCACUGUGCUCAAUAAACAGUCCCCUCUUCAAGCCCUUUAUUGACUGUGAGGAUGCCAUUGAGGCAGAUCAGGGAACUGACCCAAAGGAGCUGUGUUCAAGUUCUUCCUUUGACAGUCCUGGGUAGUAACCCCUCAGUGCCCCUAAGACUGCAGGGCAGUUGCUGAGGGGAGGGGGCAGCCUUCAUGUCCCCAAGCAUCCUGGGCAAUGCUUCUCCAUGCUCCCCAGAGUAAAUCUAUUCCGGAUUAGAUUAUUUACAGCUUCAGAACUGGUGCAAGUAGAGUUUGUUUCAUCUGCUCCCCAUCCAGGAGAGAGACCCCUCUUCUCCAUCCAGGCUACCCUAUAUCCGAGCUCCUAUUGGUCUGAUUAGCAACUGUAUCUUAUUCCUGAUAAGUGAUAUCUUUUUGCUUCUCUUCAACCAACCAUCAAGUCAAAGACAGGAAGCUCUUUACUGCUAAAGGUUGUCCCUUCCGUCAGUGGAUUGCUCUAAGGUAGGACUAGAUCAUCCAUAAGAUCCCUUCUCAUUCUAACUUUUCUGGGACUUGUAAUCCAUGAUCUAUGUAUGGUCCCCUGCAACCCUUCACUUGUUCAGCCAGAUCUCCCUGAGCCAUGAGUCUUGAGAAACUUUUUUUGUCCUCCCUGGUAAAAUGGUAGCUUUUUUUCUUCUUCCUGGUCUACUUUUCCUCAGUUUCCCUGGGCUGGAGAUCAGCACCUUAGGCCCUGAGAAGGGGGCUAGUUUUGAGGACCACAAAGUUUUUCUGAUUUCCCCUGCUAACAGCAAGCGCUUCCUCCACCCCCUGGUUUCAUAAGAACUACAAGGGAUCUUGAUGAAGUUUUACCUUCUCAUUUCACAGAUGGGGAAACUGAGGCAGAGGUUAAGUGUCUGAGGCAGGCUGUGACUUCUGUUUCUCUGGUCCUCCACAUAGAUACUUUUGCUUGGGUGCCUUUGGGCUGAUUCCAUGAUCCUUGUAGGAAUGUUAUUUGUAUACUAAUAUGUUUCCCUACCCCCAACUCUUAUUUUGCAUCUCCCACCCUGAACGUGCAGCCUGGAAUGCAGUAGACACAAUAAAUAUAUGGAAUUGACUUGAAAAAUGCUAUCCAUCCUCAUGGAACUUUGUGUAUCUCUCUCCUUUUGGCCUAGUUCCUGAUCCCUCAGCCCCAGAGGUGGGAGUUGGGGGAGAGGGGAGAGGAAGACCCUUUGUUUUCUGGAGCCCUUUGAGCCGCUUAUCCCGGCCCUGCUGGACUGUGAGAGGGCCUCUCCCCUCUGUCCCAGUGUGGGCAGGCAGCUUCUUCUCCUUUGACCUGAAGGGUGGAACGGGCUUGAUCCCGGGAGCAAGGGGCCAAGCUACUGGUCUCGCUUCAUUGCCUCCACUGUCCGGCUCUUAUCCCAAGACAACAGGAUGGUCCCUUUCUGGGGGGUUGCAAGGUGGGGCCUAGGCUUUACUCCCCUCCCCUUGUGCUGACCUUAGGGCAAGUGACUGGGGGUGGGCUGGGAAAGGAGGGGGGUCCAAUAGAUCUGAGGCUCAUCUACAUACGGCCAGGCCAGGAUUCCCUUCUCUCUCUUUAUCUCAUCUCUCCUUCCCAGUGCACCUGUGGGUCAUGAGAAUUCCUUAACACUAAAUGGGCCUUAGGAGAUAGAAGGGAGACUGUCAGAGCUGGGAGGGCCCUUAGAAUGUGGAAUGUUAGAUUUGGGAGGGCCCCUAGAACCCAAGAUGGUAGAGCUAGGAGGACCCUUAAGAUGUCAGAACUUAGAAGAACUUAAAAGAGUUCAUUGAAUCCAAUCCCCUAAUUUUAAAGAGGAAGACAUGACCCGGAGAGGAAGGAAUGACUUCCUUCCUUCUUUCCUUCAUUCCUUCUUUCAUUUCCUCCUUCCUUUCUCCAUUCAUCAUUCAGCUCCCCAUGAAUCAGGGGCAGAGUGGACCCCAAGCCUUUCCAGUACAGUUUAUAAGACUUCUUCCAAACAACCUGGAAGUUUGAGCCUCCCUGCAGGAAAGGCCCCAAGCUAGAGAUGGAGAAUGAGGAGAAAGAGAGAAGGAGGAAGGGGGAGAGAGAUGGGAAGAGGCAUUGGAGGGGGAGGUAAGGCCUAUUCCCACUGGCCUGAUCUGGCGGCGGGUGUGUCAGAAGCUAGAGACAAGGACUCUGCAGUCAAGGGAAAAUAAAUUUCCCUCCUUGAAGGAAGGGAGAGGGCUGUUAUCAGGAUGAGUCUGGGUGAAUGAGGAGACUGGAGGAAAAUAUUUUUAUCCUGUGUGUUUUUUCCAAAAAGGAGUUCAGCUUUCUCCUUUAAAAGUCUGCUAAAAGGGAUCAUGUACCAAGAAAUUAGUUAUGGGGUGAUGGAGAGGAAGGAGUGAGCUUCACCAUCAGAGGCCAGAGACCCGGCUUCCCAGGCUAUAUCAGUCCCCGGCUUGCUGUGUUAUCUAUCACAGGAUGAAUCCCGGCCCAUUUCUGGGUAUCAGUUUCUCCAUCUAAAAAAUGGUUGGAUUGAUGGGGUUAGGAGUUCUUCAUCUGGGCUGCAGAGAUAGAUUUCAGAGGUUCUUGAAUCCUGGUGAGAAUAAAAAGGGAUAAUUUCGUUUUCUCCUAACCUUUAACUGGAAUGUCGCCCUGCUUGCAGUUAAUUUCCUACAUUAUGACUUUUGAGAAGGGGUUCUUGAACUUUGCCAGAGGGGCUCAGACCCCAAACAAGGCUAAGAAUCCCUGUGACUGACUCUGAAAUGGGAGCCCCCCCUUAUUCCAAUGGCUCUAAGUUUCCAGAUUCUGAAUCUUUGGGGAUCAGGCAAGAGAUAUUUGUGUGUGUGUGUGUGUGUGUGUGUGUGUGUGUGUGUGUGUGUGUGUGUGAAGGGAACAACUGAAAAAAAUAAGAAGCCCAGUCCUGCUCACCCUAACUCCCUAGUCUGGCCCCUUUUGUCAGCCUCUCUGCCUCCCCUUCUCCCCCAGCCUCACUCCAUGUGGCGCUCCCACCGAGGGUCUGGUUCCAAUCAAGCCCGAGGAGGAACCCAGGCAAGGGGGGCCAGGAGGGGAGGGGCCUCCCGGGCCUGGGCCCCCAGGGACGCUGUUGGACAUGAAACAUCGCCUGUUCGAGGGGCCUGUCGGAUGCCAGGGGUGAAAGGGCCCGGAGGGGGGCCGGGUGGGAUGGGAGGAGAGCCAGUUCCGGACUCUGUGUGGAAGACUCCUUCCUCUGUUCUGGUGGCCCCCUGGGAGCUCCCGGGUCCGGAGGCUGCGUGCAGCGAGGGGCUUUUAGCGGGUGAGUGUGACUCCAUGUGUUUCUGAGUCUGGGAGCGUGUGCACACGUCCGUCAGAGCCAGUGUGUGAGGGCAGGAGGGGGACGUUUCCUUCUUUGUCCCCGUGCGGCCGGCGCUCAGCGCCCCACCUGGCCCGUGGCUGUCGCCGAACGGGCGCUCGGUGACCGGUCGCUGCGCGGGCCGUCCCUGAGUGUGUGACCCUGGAUCAGCGUGGGGAUCAGGGGAAGGGCGGGGGCUCCGUGGGGAGCCCCAUAACGGGUGGCUGGGGGUCUCUGUGUGACGCGGCUUAUAUGUUAGUCUCUGUGGGCGGAAGCCCGUAUUUUCUCUUUGUGGGCCCACUCCCUUUACCCUCCCCCCAAAUCCGCCCAUCCAGUGCUUUCUGACCCCGGGGGCUGGGAGGGGCUGUGCUGCCCACUCUGGGGGAUGAGUUAGAGGCGGGGUUUGUCCCGGGGGGCUCACAGCCGGACAACGCCCCGUGAGAUGCACUGAGCGGGGUAUGAAAGGUACAGAUACGAUGACUCCGGGUGGGAGAAAUCCCUCUGGGCGAGAAACCAGGGAAGGCUUCCCGGAGAACUGUGUGCGAUCCUGCCUCUGACGCUGGGUGCGGACCACAGCCCCCCUCUCCCCCCCGGCACCUUGAAUUCACCCAUGCCAGCCAACGGAUGGGUGCCUGUCAUCAAAAAGCCUGGCCGUGCCCCCUUAAGAAAGCGAACAAAGCCGAGAAAGUGCGAGAGGGGAGAGAUGGGGCUGCUUCCAUCUUACCCCACAAAGUGAAGGAGGGGGCGUUCGGGUGAAGCUUUGUUGAAGGAACAGUGCCUGACCUAGCAUCCUUAAGGACCUGCUGCCUCCCGGGAUUGGCGGGUUGGAUAGAUUUCCUAGAAAGAUUCGAGAGUAAUAAUGAUAAUAAUAAAAAAACAAGAACCCCAAUAUUUUGUGAAGUGCUAUUGAAAGAAAUAGCUCUGAGUCUCUAAUGAACUUCCUGAGUGACUAUGGCAUUAAAAUUACCCAAGAUAUUUCCCAGCUCUGACAUCCUGAGUUCUAAGGUCCUCCCAGCUCUGAAUCUGUUUUAAAGAUCCUCCCAGUGCUAACAUUCUAUGUUCUAAGGGUCUUCCAGCUCGUACAUUCUGUGUUCUUGAGAUUAUCCGCAGGAGGAGGCACUGGGGGCCACAGCAAUUUUAAAUCUCCUUCUCCCAAACCAUAGAUGUGCUGAGAGCCAGGUCAGUAAACCCCAGGCUAAAAGCACAGAUCCCUAAAUUAUCAGCAUUAUUAUUCCAUGUUGUAAGGGCUCUGAUAUUCUUAGAUCUCUAAAUUAUCAGUAUUUUUAUUCCAUGUUGUAAGGGCCCUGAUAUUCUCAAAUCCCUAAAUUAUCAGUAUUAUUAUACCAUGUUGUAAGGGCUCUGAUAUUCUCCGAUCCCUAAAUUAUCAGCAUUAUUAUUCCAUGUUGUAAGGGCUCUGAUAUUCUCCGAUCCCUAAAUUAUCAGUAUUUUUAUUCCAUGUUGUAAGGGCUCUGAUAUUCUCCAUCCUAAGGCUCCUCCCAGUUCUGACAUCGUGUGUUCUAAAGGCCCUCCCAGCUCUGACAUUCUGUCUUUUAAGGGCCCUCUCGGCUCUGACCUUCUGUGUUCUAACGUCCUUCCCAUUCAGCUCUGGUAGUCUAUCUUCUAAGGCUAUUCCCACACUUGAUAUUCUCAGUUAUAAAGCUUCUCCUGUCUCUGACAUUCCGUGUUCUAAGGUUCUUCCCAACUCUGACAUUCCGGGUUCUAAGUUCCCUCCUAGCCUUGCCAUUCUCUGUUCUAAGACUUCUCCUCACCCUGAUAUUUCACAUUCUAAGGGUCCUUCGACCUCUGACAUUUCAAGUUCUACGAGCGCUCCUUUUUCUGAUAUUCUCUGUUCUAAAGUCCCUCCCAGUGUGACAUUUUAGGAUGCCGUGAUUCACAGUAUGCUCUAAUGAUCUCGGUUUUAUGUGUCGGGUAAGAAUAGUAAUUAGCUAUUUGCUAUUAGUGAGCUAAUGACUUAGCAAUUAGUACUACUAUAAUCUAAUUAGCACCAAGCAGGGUUGGAUGGUAAGGAAAAGUUUCCUGGAGGGGGAAACUGAGGCCCAGAGAGACCUACCCCCUGGGAUCAUGCAAAUCAGGGAUCGAUCCCACAAGCAUAGCUUUUUGCCACCAUGCUUUGAACCCCCGUCACUGUCAGAGGGUUCUAAGCUCAGCUGCUUACUGAGACCUGGGUCGCAUUUCCUUCUUUUCCACCCUAAUACCCUUGUGUCUAUAUAUGCAGAAAUAUAGAUAUCUAUAUAGGGUCUCCUUGUAUCUCUCUACAUACUUAUAUUUAUACAGGGUACCCUUAUUCUGAACCAUCCUUUUGGAGGAGUCCUGAUCAGACCUAUUUUGAGUCCCAAUUCUAUGAACUCUUCCGACUUCUUCGAAGAAUGAAAGGAUUUAAGAAAGUAUAUGCAAGGCUGCCAUAGAAACGUUAUUGUGUGUGUAUGUGUGGGUCUUUGUCUCUCCAGAGUUUAGUCCAAAGUUUAGCACACAGUAUGUGCUCUCUCUAUAUGUUUAUGGAUUGAUUCCUUGAAAAAUAGCAAUAUCCAUUUGAUUAGAAAUGUCAGAUUUACAGAGAAAGUACAAUUAUUAUUCCCAUUUUACAGGUGAAGAAACUGAGGUUCUGAGAGGAAAUGUCUAAUAACGGGUCAUUUAUUUAGCAAGCCAGGAUUACUACCAAGGUCUCCAGGCUCCCAGGUCUAGAAGGAGGAAUUGGUAGGAUGGGGCUCAGAACGGCUCCCACAUUUCAUAGGAAGAGUUAUGUAGAGAUCUGGCCUCCCCAAACCCCCAACCCUGACCCUUGGGAUGGUGUUGAAAGGAUGUGGUUCAAGGCCAGAGCUGGAGGGGAGAGAUUUCCUCCUCCAGACCAAGUCUCUGAGUCUUUCUUUGGGUUCCCAGCUUCAGAACAGAGAGUUGGAGGGAGGAACUGUAGAGACCCCAGGAGGAAUCCUGAGAGCUCAACUUCUCUCCGACUUUCCCCCCUUUUCUGUGCUCUCAGCCUUAACUUACUAAUCAGGCCAGGAUUCUUUAUUGGCCUUUCUGUCCCAGGGCUUAUGCCAUGCCUUUUCUUGGAUACCACUCUUGGUUUGGGGAGUUCAGAGUUCUGACCUUUGUGUUCUAAGAGCCUUCCUAGCUGAUAGUCUAUGUUCUAAGUCUCUACCUGGUUCUGGUUUCUAAGGAGCCUCUCAGCUCUUACAUUCUCUUUUAUAAAGCACCGUAGCCCUGACCUCCUGGGUUCUAAGGGCCCUCC